UGCAAGUCGAGCGGUAACAGAGAUAGCUUGCUAUCUGCUGACGAGCGGCGGACGGGUGAGUAAUGCUUGGGAAUAUGCCUUUAGGUGGGGGACAACAGUUGGAAACGACUGCUAAUACCGCAUAAUGUCUACGGACCAAAGAGGGGGACCUUCGGGCCUCUUGCCUUUAGAUUAGCCCAAGUGAGAUUAGCUAGAUGGUAAGGUAAUGGCUUACCAUGGCGACGAUCUCUAGCUGGUUUGAGAGGAUGAUCAGCCACACUGGGACUGAGACACGGCCCAGACUCCUACGGGAGGCAGCAGUGGGGAAUAUUGCACAAUGGGCGCAAGCCUGAUGCAGCCAUGCCGCGUGUGUGAAGAAGGCCUUCGGGUUGUAAAGCACUUUCAGUUGUGAGGAAAGGGAUGUAGUUAAUAGCUGCAUUCUGUGACGUUAGCAACAGAAGAAGGACCGGCUAACUCCGUGCCAGCAGCCGCGGUAAUACGGAGGGUCCGAGCGUUAAUCGGAAUUACUGGGCGUAAAGCGUGCGUAGGCGGUUAUUUAAGUCAGAUGUGAAAUCCCGGGGCUCAACCUCGGAACUGCAUUUGAAACUGGGUGACUAGAGUUUUGUAGAGGGUGGUGGAAUUUCCAGUGUAGCGGUGAAAUGCGUAGAGAUUGGAAGGAACAUCAGUGGCGAAGGCGGCCACCUGGACAAAAACUGACGCUGAGGCACGAAAGCGUG
rnacentral:rRNA from 1 species